AUGGAUUCCGUUAUACUAAAUAGUCGAACUGUUUUAUCGACUUGACUUACAUUAUCAUUACAAUUACUCAGAAUUUCUAAGCAAAAUAUUCCAAUGUUAUAAAUAUUAAGGGCAUCAUGUUGCUAAAUACUCUAUGUGUUUUAGAUAGAAUCAUAAUGAAUGGAACAACAGAACGUAUGAAAUGGAGACCAAAAUAAAUUGUACAGCAGUUAAUUCAAUGUCCUUAUCAUGAUUAAGAUCACAUCAAAGUGCAAGCCCGCACUUGGAUCAGAUUUAGCAAUUGCACUCAUGAAAAUGUGAUCAACUGUAUACAUAAUUGAUACGCGUGAUUGGUGCCAGGUGAAGGAAAAAUACAUACCGUAUAAAAAUGCUAAUGUCCUAAGAUGUUUCUUUUUUAAUGCAACAGAAUAUUCUAAAGUGACUGACACUAGUUGACGAGGAAAAGUUCAAAGAUUCGCAAAUAAUUCAACGCAUUCCAGACACUUAAAGGCGGGAAUUCAGGUUCAUGAACGUGCGACUCUUAUCGAGGCCUGAAAGUGCGAUGUCGCCCUAUUUUACACGCCAUUGUUCGACGUCUUUCAUACAAAAUGAGCUUUAAAAGAGGCAAGAUCACCGGAAGGAUCCUGUCUUCGAGCCUUUGUACGCAUACAAUAUACAAUAGAAUGAAAAGCAUAUCUUCGCCAACAAGUCAUCUAUUCGUGCGACUCUAUUUGGACUUUAAAAUCUUAGACAACAUUUAUAUCUUCUUUUUUAAAAAAGAGAAUAUUUCACAAUAAUACAAAGCUUAUGUUACUCAUAAAUAUCUCUUUUUCUGUCUUCAGUCUUUCAGGAAGAUACAUGUUUAUUUUAUGUCUGUCUGAACAAGAGAAUGACAUCAAUCUUUUUUGUUACGAAGUAAUUAAAUUCCAGUAUAUUUCGGAAUGGAGACCUUCGGUUUUAUACGUUUAUUGUAUCACUGUUAUCAGACAAGACAAAUGUCUUCUUUCUUGUUUACGAUAUCCGCGCAGCUGCUGGCUUAAUGUGCACGCGCGAAUACUCGUGCUACUACGUCUUAGUAACGUAACAUAAAUCGUUACAUAAAUAUAUACCAGGAUCCGAUAUAUUCGUUGUUACAGAAUUAACGAACAUCGUCAGAGGAAAGUGAAACGAGAGAGAAACUGCCAGUAUAAAUACCUAGGAUUCUGGAGAACAGUAAAUGUCCACUGAUUUCCUUCCCAUACCACAGCUAUCGAUCCUUGCAGGAUUUAUUAUUCGGCACGUGUGAGUCCUUGAUCAGUCAAAUUUAGAUAAAAUGUACAAUUGGUAUUCACUGAAUGUCCGGUUAUAUAAUUUAACACUGAUUAUUGUUUCUCACCAUUGAUUCAAUUUUACAUAGGAAAAAACUAUUAAGCAAUGAUAAAUAUAAAUAAAAUAUAAUUAAAAAGUAGAAAGAAUGAAAAUAUUCAAAUACACUUUCAUUUUAAAUUAAUCAGAUAUUUGAAAUUAUUAAUCAGAAAAGCAAGUUUACCGAGGAUGAAAAGGUUUUUUACUUAAAAAUUGUACGAAGCACUUGAAUGAAGAACACUUGUUGAAUCUAGUCCGAUGGUAAUUUAUUAAAGUUCUAUUUUUACACAAAAACAUCGUUUUUCUAUGGAACUACCAACGCGUGAGUAGCAGUAUGGAUAACUUAACAAUUUAGAUU